rnacentral:lncRNA from 10 species
ACACAACCUGGUGCAAACAACCUUGAAGCGGGACGCAGCCAAAGAACACGAGAUGCCAUUUCUCAGCCCAAUUGGAAAGAGGCCGGGAGCACCAGUUCCCUGACCCCCUCAGCCCCACCGCCUGCCGCCCCCUGGUACUGACCAGCUCCUUCUUCCUCUUCUCCUCUUUCACGUCGGUCUUCUUGAUCUCUGCCUUGAAGGCCUCCGCCUCGCCAUUCUGGUCGUCCUUGGCCAGCAGGUCCAUGAGGGACACCAGUCCCUACGAAGACCUUGGGCGAUUUUGAAGUGCGGGCACCUCGAUUCCCCGAAUCUGUAGUGUGGCUGGUAUCGGUGUUCCCCUGGUUUAACUAGCCUGUUUGAAGGCACAGAUCAUUCAUGGGGAUGUAUAACCGAAACCAGUCCUCUCCACCGCCUGGGGAUCUUCACUUUCGCAGUCUACGACUGCCUGUGACUCCAGAAAGACAAACUGCAGAUUGGCCAAGAUGGGGAAAUUGAGGCAGAGAAGCCAAGACAUGUGCUAAAGGUCAUGCAGGCUAUGAAUGGAGCUGGAAUGUGAACGCAGGCCAUAUGACCCCAGAGCCCAUGUUCUUGAACCCUUAGAAAGACAGCAGCAACACACCUGGUGCAGCAGCUGCUUAGUUGGAGUGGCUGACAAGGUUGGCAGAGGAUCCCGUUCCUCCCGUGGAGUGGCUGCCAUGAUACUGCCUGCACUGAAGCUGCUCCUAUUUCUGAAAUAUGUAUUGUUAUUUUUUUCCCUGCAUGUUGAACAUUAUACUCUUCUGUUCUUUCGCAUUCUCUUCUUCCCUUCCGGAUGACUUCUAGGGUUUUUGUGAUUCUGUAAUUCUAAAGGAGAAAGGAUAAUAAGAAUUGUGAGGCCGGGCGCGGUGGCUCAUGCCUGUAAUCACAGCACUUUGGGAGGCCAAGGUGGGCGGAUCACUAGGUGAGGAGAUGGAGACCAUCCUGGCUAACACGGUGAAACCCCGUCUCUACUAAAAAUACAAAAAAUUAGCGGGGUGUGGUGGCGGGCGCCUGUAGUCCCAGCAACUCGGGAGGCUGAGGCAGGAGAAUGGCGUGAACCCGGGAAGCGGAGCUUGCAGUGAGCCGAGAUUGCGCCACUGCACUCCAGCCUGGGCGAAGAGGGAGACUCCAUCUUAAAAAAUUAAAAAAAAAAAUUACAGAAAAUUAGCUGGGCGCGGUGGCGGGCGCCUAUAGUCCCAGCUACUCGGGAGGCUGAGGCAGGAGAAUGACGUGAACCCGAGAAGCGGAGCUUGCAGUGAGCCAAAAUCGCGCCACUGCACUCCAGCCUGGGCGGCAGAGCGAGACUCCGUCUCAAAAAAAAAAAAAAAAGAAUUGUGAUGUGAGUGUCCAAAAAAACCCUGAUUUCCAAUCACCUACACAUGGCUGUUUCCUAGAUACACCAGAAAAAAUUGUGACUUUCCGGAUACCUAGUUUCCCUCCCUCCCUCCCUCCCUCCCUUCUUCCCUCCCUC